rnacentral:rRNA from 1 species
UACGUAGGUGGCAAGCGUUGUCCGGAAUUAUUGGGCGUAAAGCGCGCGCAGGCGGCCUUUUAAGUCUGAUGUGAAAUCUUGCGGCUCAACCGCAAGCGGCCAUUGGAAACUGGGAGGCUUGAGUACAGAAGAGGAGAGUGGAAUUCCACGUGUAGCGGUGAAAUGCGUAGAUAUGUGGAGGAACACCAGUGGCGAAGGCGAUCACCUGGGGUUGUUCUGACGCUGAGGAGCGAAAGCUAGGGGAGCAAACGGG